UACGGAGGGUGCAAGCGUUAAUCGGAAUUACUGGGCGUAAAGCGCACGCAGGUGGCUGAGUCAGUCGAUUGUGAAAGCCCUGGGCUUAACCUAGGAAUUGCAGUCGAUACUACUCAGCUAGAGUAUGGGAGAGGGCAGUGGAAUUCCCGGUGUAGCGGUGGAAAUGACGUAGAUAUCGGGAGGAACAUCAGUGGCGAAGGCGGCUGCCUGGCCCAAUACUGACACUCAGGUGCGACAGCGUGGGGAGCCAAA
rnacentral:rRNA from 1 species